AGAAGCUAUAAAAGGGGGAAGUGACAUCACCAAUUGGCCUCACUUCCCCUACUACAUAACACCUGAGGAACAGACUGAAUUGAGGAAGGUGGUCCCAGGCAGGAAAGAAGAAAGCUCUGCCUGUUUAUGGAAGAUUGGUAGACUGUUUGUACCAUCAGGAAACAAAUUACCACGAAGAAAGGAAGGGAUUUAUUUGUAUUCCUGUGGUGGAGUUGGUGACAUCCAAUAUGACAGAGCGGUUUCUCUACCUCCGUCAGCUCCAUGAGGACUUCACAAUGACAGUGACUCCAGGGCAGCCACAGGUUUCUGUUUAACCAUCAACACAUGCGGAGUGGGAGGUGAAUCUUCCUUAUCUCAGUAGCCUGGCCUCCAGCAGGCUGGCUGGGGAUUCAGUCUUUUCCUUUCUGAAAGAAGGCCAUGCUAUUUAAUACUCUAUGUGCAGCAUGGGCUAGACUCUGGUCUUUGAGACCUUGGUGUAAAUUCAGGAUUUCCUCACUGAAGUAACUGGAGUUGCUCCAGAACUGCACUGCUGUAACCUAGAUCAAAGGCUGGUGUAACAUGUAUUCAACAGAGACCACACUCCGCUCUCAGUUACGCCUGUAUAAUGACUUCAGCAGAGUUACUCGGUACCAUUUCCAGUGGUGUAUAUGUGUGGGUAUAUGAGGAUGUGUGUGUGUUUUUUGUGAUAAAGUAUUUGAACGAGUUAAGCCCUUUAUUGUAUCAGUAUCAAAUGGUAUCUUUAUCCAAUUAACUUCUACAGUGCUUGACUUCAUCUUUCUCCAAAGCUGACUUAAAAAUUAAUGAUACUUUGCAUUUCUCGUGCCUUUCAUCUGACGAUCUCAAAUGGACUGCUGGUAGCAAAGGGUUGUUGUUUUUUUUAACUAGCUGCUAAAAAUGUAACAAAUCAUUAGGGGGAUUCACUUCCUGUGCCUUGCUCUCUGUGUUACUAAGCAAGCAGAGGCUGAGGACAGGUAUUUGAACACUCCAUCAUCUGUAUCCCGUAACACAAACAAGAAGAGCACAGCUAUUUAAUAUUACUCUUUAUAAUUAAAUACAGCUUUUAUUAACCUAAUGUGAAAUCUCACCAGACACUGAAUGCAAAAGCUUCUGUCUCAGACAGAAGAAGGUCACUUGUUUGGGAGGCAGGAGGGUAAUGUGGUCCCCCUGGGACCUUCUGCAUUUAGCAGCUGGUUAUGAGUUUGAUUGAAACCACCCGGGCAUGUGGGGUAAGUCACAACUCAGUGUAUUGUGGUGGUGAGAAUGAUGAUUCAGCUGGAGCAGCGUUUGUUCUCCUGGGAUACUAGGGUUAUCUU